rnacentral:rRNA from 1 species
AUUGAACGCUGGCGGAAUGCUUUACACAUGCAAGUCGAACGGCAGCACGGGGCAACCUGGUGGCGAGUGGCGAACGGGUGAGUAAUACAUCGGAACGUGCCCAAUCGUGGGGGAUAACGUAGCGAAAGUUACGCUAAUACCGCAUACGAUCUACGGAUGAAAGCGGGGGAUCGGCAAGACCUCGCGCGAAUGGAGCGGCCGAUGUCAGAUUAGGUAGUUGGUGGGGUAAAGGCUCACCAAGCCGACGAUCUGUAGCUGGUCUGAGAGGACGACCAGCCACACUGGGACUGAGACACGGCCCAGACUCCUACGGGAGGCAGCAGUGGGGAAUUUUUGGGACAAUGGGCGCAAGCCUGAUCCAG